UGGCGAGGAAGGGAAGGGGAACGAAAAUUUAUAGAAUUUUAGAACUGUUAGAUUCGUGCCAAGUGGUGAAAUCCGAUGAAAAGAGAGGAGAAAAAGAUUAUUGGCACAAAAAAUGAGGGAGGAAGACUUCCUUCAUCGACAGCAGCGGCGUGCCGCCCAAGGCAGCGGCAGCACACUGCCCGAGGUGGCAGUGCCCGGCUGGUGCACUGUAGGCGCACAAGCCUCCUACCGCUCUCGCAGGGGCUAGCUUAUAUGUGAGUAGGGCUUAGGCGCACUGGGCACCGCGAGCAUAAGCCUACUAGACGCAGGCCCUAGGCACACAGGGCUUAUCUGCGUAGGCCUGCUGCGCAGACGGUGCAUGCACAGUGUGCAGUGUCAGUCCAUGCAGAAAGUGAUGCGCAGACGGCCGCCAGCGCACGCCGGUCCUGACCCCGCACCGUGCAUGUGGACAAAAGGUGCAUGCGGCGUGCAAAUGGGUCGUGCGCAGGCAAACUACUUUCUCGUGGAAUUUUUUCCCCCGAGCAAGUUUUCUCUCGUUUUGCC
rnacentral:lncRNA from 1 species